rnacentral:tRNA from 1 species
GCAGACGCACUAGACUUAGGAUCUAGCGCCUUCGGCGUGCAGGUUCGAUUCCUGUCGCCCGCA